rnacentral:rRNA from 1 species
GAUGAACGCUGGCGGCGUGCCUAAUACAUGCAAGUCGAGCGAACAGAUGAGGAGUUUGCUCCUCUGACGUUAGCGGCGGACGGGUGAGUAACACGUGGAUAACCUACCUAUAAGACUGGGAUAACUUCGGGAAACCGGAGCUAAUACCGGAUAAUAUAUUGAACCGCAUGGUUCAAUAGUGAAAGACGGUUUUGCUGUCACUUAUAGAUGGAUCCGCGCCGCAUUAGCUAGUUGGUAAGGUAACGGCUUACCAAGGCAACGAUGCGUAGCCGACCUGAGAGGGUGGUCGGCCACACUGGAACUGAGACACGGUCCAGACUCCUACGGGAAGCAGCAGUAGGGAAUCUUCCGCAAUGGGCGAGAGCCUGACGGAACAACGCCGCGUGAGUGAUGAAGUUCUUCGGAUCGUAAAACUCUGUUAUUAGGGAAGAACAAAUGUGUAAGUAACUAUGCACGUCUUGACGGUACCUAAUCAGAAAGCCACGGCUAACUACGUG